rnacentral:rRNA from 1 species
CCUACGGGUGGCAGCAGUGAGGAAUAUUGGUCAAUGGACGGAAGUCUGAACCAGCCAUGCCGCGUGCAGGAAGACGGCUCCAAGCGUUGUAAACUUCUUUUGUACAAGGGCAAACUCAGAUACGAGUACCUGUCUGAAAGUAUUUUAAGAAUAAGGAUCGGCUAACUCCGUGCCAGCAGCCGCGGUAAUACGGAGGAUUCAAGCGUUAUCCGGAUUUAUUGGGUUUAAAGGGUGCGUAGGCGGUCGGUUAAGUCAGCGGGGAAAUCCCGAGGCUCAACCUCGGAAUUGCCGUUGAUACUGGUCGGCUAGAGAGUAGGUGCGGUAGGCGGAAUGGAUGGUGUAGCGGUGAAAUGCUUAGAGAU